GACGGAGGAUGCGAGUGUUAUCCGGAAUCACUGGGCGUAAAGCGUCUGUAGGUGGUUUAAAAAGUCUAGUGUUAAAGCUUGAAGCUUAACUUCAAAAAUGCUUUAGAAACUUUUAAACUUGAGUAUGGUAGGGGUAGAGGGAAUUUCCAGUGGAGCGGUGAAAUGCGUAGAUCUUGGAAAGACCACCAAUGGCGAAGGCACUCUACUGGGCCAUUACUGACACUAAGAGACGAAAGCUAGGGGAGCAAAUGGG
rnacentral:rRNA from 1 species